rnacentral:tRNA from 1 species
CGGGCUGUAGCUCAGUUGGGAGAGCGCGUUGCCAUUGGCGACGAGGUCAAGGGUUUCAGUCCCUCUCAGCUCCUCCA